rnacentral:rRNA from 1 species
UACGUAGGGUGCAAGCGUUGUCCGGAAUUAUUGGGCGUAAAGAGCUCGUAGGCGGUCUGUCACGUCGGACGUGAAAAUCCAGGGCUCAACCCUGGACCUGCGUUCGAUACGGGCAGACUAGAGUUCGGUAGGGGAGACUGGAAUUCCUGGUGUAGCGGUGAAAUGCGUAGAUAUCUGGAGGAACACCGGUGGCGAAGGCGGCAUUCUGGACUGCAACUGACACUGAACGACGAAAGCCAGGGGAGCAAACGGG